CUCAUCUCGAGCCCCUGGAUAACCUUCUCCACCCAACUUGGAGAUCAUUGGACAGAAUGAAGGUGAUGAUUGUAGCUCUUCUCCUCAUUGUAGCUGCUCUACAGGAUCACAGAGUCGCUGCUGAUGAACAGAUAGUUCCACUGGGGGUGACACCGAAACCAAGUAACUUGAACUUUUCAGUGACAUCCACAAAACCGAAGUGCAUCAAAAAAACAUUGACAUUUGACGUGAACGGAUUUUGUAGAUGCUCUCUUCAAAAACUGUUUCCCUCACAUUCAAUGUAUAGUAUCUUAGAGUUAGCGGAUCAGCCAGACCCGAUUCACUGUUUAAGCAAUCAAUGUAGAUAUCGCCAGACAUACAGAGCCUUGGCACUGAUGAAUGAGCAAUGGAAAAGAGCCAUAAUAUCCAUGUGCCGAAGUUUUAGCACUAUCAGAGAAAACACAAAUAAAACACUGCUUCUUGCUCAGCCCGAUAUUGACCAUAGGUGCAGAAAUCGGAGUUGCAAACGGUUCUUGAGUUCCUUGAAAAUCGACACUGAGAAAGUGACAUUUCUACGGCCCUGCUGUAGAUCUUAACACUGGAACUACCAGGAUCUGUAACUAUUGAAAUUAUAGACAUCCCAGUGUAACAGGGUUAAAAUAAUGUUUAAUUGUCUUUCACUAAAAUGGGUUAUUUUGUUUAUUUUGUGGCUGUUGAGAGACCUCUUGUGGCAACAGUGUGUAAUUGUUUCUUUCACCUUUCACCUGCAAAGCCCCGCCUACAGCAGAAAAUGGUUGCUGAAUGCAGAAAGGCGGUAGGUAAAAUGUGCUCCAGCUAAAUGUGACAAAUUUUGUAUUUUAACACAUAUUAAUAACACAUACAAGUCCAAAUUGAACAUUAAGUGAUGUUUUAGAUUAAAUCUGUCGAGUGAUUGCCGUGUGUGACAAACUUUGUGUGGUUUAAUUUGCUCAUGCUACGUGUAGCUGGAAUGAUGACAUUAAUAUGUUGAGGGGUGAUUUCUUACUAUUUGUUUGGUUUUUUUAGAUGCAUGUUUAAAUGCAUACUGUUGCCAGAGGAUGUAUAUUUCUGUUACAGGUAUGUUGAACUUUUGUAAAUAAAUAAUGUUUUGUUAAAAUGACUUUAUGUGGCAACACAGCAGAAAAUGGUUGCUGAAUGCAGAAAGGCGAUGCAUGUUUAAAUGCAUACUGUUGCCAGAGGAUGUAUAUUUCUGUUACAGAAUAAACAACGCAGAACGCA